CUACAAUCCGCCCAACACAACCCCACAGUGGUUGACACCCUCAUAGCCCAAGAAGUGGAUGAGGGCUUUGUAUUGGGGCCUUUUAGAACUCCUCCAUUCACAGAAUGGCGCACCAACCCUAUUGGUAUUGUCACAGGGAAAUCUUCCCAAAAACAGAGACUCAUCAUUGACUUAUCGGCUCCCCACUCAUCGGCCAACCCCAGUCUUAAUUCCCUCAUACCCUCUGAGGAAUUCUCUCUGCAAUACACCACC